CUGCGCGGAAGAUGUAACGGGGCUAAACCAUGCACCGAAGCUGCGGCAGCGACGCUGAUGCGUUGUUGGGUAGGGGAGCGUUCUGUAAGCCUGUGAAGGUGGCCUGUGAGGGUUGCUGGAGGUAUCAGAAGUGCGAAUGCUGACAUAAGUAACGAUAAAGCGGGUGAAAAGCCCGCUCGCCGGAAGACCAAGGGUUCCUGUCCAACGUUAAUCGGGGCAGGGUGAGUCGACCCCUAAGGCGAGGCCGAAAGGCGUAGUCGAUGGGAAACGGGUUAAUAUUCCCGUACUUGGUGUUACUGCGAAGGGGGGACGGAGAAGGCUAUGUUGGCCGGGCGACGGUUGUCCCGGUUUAAGCGUGUAGGUGUGUGUUCCAGGUAAAUCCGGUUCACUUUAACACUGAGGCGUGAUGACGAGGCACUACGGUGCUGAAGCAACAAAUGCCCUGCUUCCAGGAAAAGCCUCUAAGCAUCAGGUAACAUCAAAUCGUACCCCAAACCGACACAGGUGGUCAGGUAGAGAAUACCAAGGCGCUUGAGAGAACUCGGGUGAAGGAACUAGGCAAAAUGGUGCCGUAACUUCGGGAGAAGGCACGCUGACACGUAGGUGAAGUGAUUUACUCACGGAGCUGAAGUCAGUCGAAGAUACCAGCUGGCUGCAACUGUUUAUUAAAAACACAGCACUGUGCAAACACGAAAGUGGACGUAUACGGUGUGACGCCUGCCCGGUGCCGGAAGGUUAAUUGAUGGGGUCAGCGCAAGCGAAGCUCCUGAUCGAAGCCCCGGUAAACGGCGGCCGUAACUAUAACGGUCCUAAGGUAGCGAAAUUCCUUGUCGGGUAAGUUCCGACCUGCACGAAUGGCGUAAUGAUGGCCAGGCUGUCUCCACCCGAGACUCAGUGAAAUUGAACUCGCUGUGAAGAUGCAGUGUACCCGCGGCAAGACGGAAAGACCCCGUGAACCUUUACUAUAGCUUGACACUGAACAUUGAGCCUUGAUGUGUAGGAUAGGUGGGAGGCUUUGAAGUGUGGACGCCAGUCUGCAUGGAGCCGACCUUGAAAUACCACCCUUUAAUGUUUGAUGUUCUAACGUGGACCCGUAAUCCGGGUUGCGGACAGUGUCUGGUGGGUAGUUUGACUGGGGCGGUCUCCUCCUAAAGAGUAACGGAGGAGCACGAAGGUUGGCUAAUCCUGGUCGGACAUCAGGAGGUUAGUGCAAUGGCAUAAGCCAGCUUGACUGCGAGCGUGACGGCGCGAGCAGGUGCGAAAGCAGGUCAUAGUGAUCCGGUGGUUCUGAAUGGAAGGGCCAUCGCUCAACGGAUAAAAGGUACUCCGGGGAUAACAGGCUGAUACCGCCCAAGAGUUCAUAUCGACGGCGGUGUUUGGCACCUCGAUGUCGGCUCAUCACAUCCUGGGGCUGAAGUAGGUCCCAAGGGUAUGGCUGUUCGCCAUUUAAAGUGGUACGCGAGCUGGGUUUAGAACGUCGUGAGACAGUUCGGUCCCUAUCUGCCGUGGGCGCUGGAGAACUGAGGGGGGCUGCUCCUAGUACGAGAGGACCGGAGUGGACGCAUCACUGGUGUUCGGGUUGUCAUGCCAAUGGCACUGCCCGGUAGCUAAAUGCGGAAGAGAUAAGUGCUGAAAGCAUCUAAGCACGAAACUUGCCCCGA
rnacentral:rRNA from 1 species